AUAGGUCGUGACCUGUGUCUGCAAAAAAGGCUAAACUUAACCUGAUUUAAAAACUACCACAAGUGCUGGCCUCUUCUAGAAGACUUGUCACGUCGGUUUUGCCUUUCUUUGUUGUGUUUACAACAAUAACUUGUAGGUUGCUGAAGGAAAAAUGUCAUUUCCAAGAUAAGUUUACAAAAAGAGUCUGAUUUCUUGGGCUCCUCAUGUGGCCUUUUUAAAGGUGGUUCCAAAUUUGGCGUUGUUGAGGUAGUAAAAGGGUCGGCCAGCCCCUUUCGUUGCUUCAGAAAGCCCAAGGAGGUACAUAAUGUCAUUUUGUCCCGUUAUUGUGAUGUUGAAACUGAUUACGUGGUUAAUUAAAGUGUAACCGGGGCUGGACAUGGUUAUUUCAAGACCUGACACUCAGAACGUGUUCAAGAUAUGUAAGUACACAUGGAGAGUUUACUUUGUAAACUUAUAUUUUAGUUACAGGUGUGCAUGCAUAUUAAAGUGUUA